CCCUAACGAUUCUUUCUUCAAGGGAUUUCACAAUCUAACUCAGCCGGCUACGUCUUCCUCGUCAAUUGUUCCUUAUUCUAAGAUCAAUACUGUUUCCAUUGACAAUACUAGUAGUGCUAUUUCUGGUUUUAGGAUAAACAGGGGCGGCGGUGUUGGAUUGACGCUGAGAGGCUGCUUUGACUCUCACGAAACCGGGAAUGAAAGGAGGCCUCGUGCAUUUGCCGCUCCCCACCAUCAACUAGUGCGUGAUCUCGAGACUCGACUGGAAGAUAGCAGCAGCAGCAGCAAUAGUGCUCGAUACAUAAAUGGUCACGGGACUUGUCAAGGUGGAAAGCUUUUUCGCUUCCCUGAC
rnacentral:misc_RNA from 1 species